UAGGGAAUCUUCCACAAUGGGCGCAAGCCUGAUGGAGCAACACCGCGUGAGUGAAGAAGGGUUUCGGCUCGUAAAGCUCUGUUGUUAAAGAAGAACACGUAUGAGAGUAACUGUUCAUACGUUGACGGUAUUUAACCAGAAAGGUCACGGCUAACUACGUGCCUG
rnacentral:rRNA from 1 species